UUAACUAGGAUAAGAACGGAAACUCGUCUUCUUUAUGGGAUAUUUGUAUAUAGAAUAUCAUAGGUAUAUUUAAGACCUAGAGUCUAGGGGAAGGAGAUCAAACUAGAGAGACUUUAAGCGAAUCAACUGUGGGCCCUAGACUGUUUAACCAUAGUACUCGUAGCCAAAGAGCCGUUGCUGAAGGCUAAGGGUCAUCUUUUAGCUCUCCUCUCGGUUAAGGGUGGGAUUAGGGAGGGAAAAGACGCACCUACCACUACUCUAGCCGCCACCGGACUCCCCCGCCUCAGAGAAGAGGUUGUACCGCCGCCGCCGCCGCUAAACCGCCGCGUCCGCUGUUACUAAUAAGCCCAUGUCUGGUCAUCUCUCCUCACCAACGCACCCUUGGGAAGAGUGCGCCAUUUUAGGGUGCAGGUAGCGGCUAGGCACAUGGUAGCCGCAGCUCGAAGCUCCGCCGCCGUCCUAGCGCUCACGUCCCCGACCAACGGCAUGAAAGCCACCAUUUUAAGGGGAAGAGACGAGCGCUAGUUCCUCUACCCGUCCCGGUUCUUGUAUCUACUACGGCUAAACGUUCUCCACGAACGAGACGCGCUCCUUAAGCCGCAGAAUGUCGUCCUCUCACGGAACUACGCGUGACUCCAUCGGUUCGAGGUAGUUCUGCACGUCAGGUAGUCAAGGUUUGUUCCACUAUAGAGAGACGUUCAUCCAUGUCACCUUUUUCGACACAAUCUAGAGUCAUUCGUUAAUAGUCGUUAAUCAAGUCGCAAGUUCUGUGACCACGGAGGGUGAUUAGUCCCCGUUUGAUAACUAUAGGGAAGAUCAAGAUGUGUCAACCACUUUAGAGGAUGUGACGUACCUCGUUGAUGAGUAAAUGUCGGACUGUCUUGACUUGUUAAUGCCUUUGUCGAUCUCCUUCUCUUCCUUUUCUGAUCCAACCGACUCCUUAACGUGAACGUUUUAAACUGUGGAUAAGCGUGAUUGUCUGGGUUACAAGGUGGACCUAAACGAGUUAGUUUUUCUUACCUACGGUGAUCAGUUCACCCGUGAGGAGAUAGGGUUUCUCUAGGUCCAGUGUGGGGACGUAAAGUUGUCAAAGUCUUGUCCCUCUCCGUUGAUACCGUUCCUAUAAUGUCUUGUAUACUCGUCCUGUACGUCCAGGUUAAGUACUUCCGAUACUGUUUUCCAGGAUUUGACCUUAAAGGAUUUAAGAAACCUCUCCUAGGACACCCUACCAACUCUGUUACAUUGUUUAUGAAAGUUUACAGACCACGAGGACUUCUUAUGUUUCAUAGGAAUCGUGUCUACAUAUAUUCACCUCUACGACUAUAAACCAAUUCUUCCGGACCAGACGAAUUUUUCGUAAACUGUACCUUUCUUAAACCGUUUCUUUAACACUUCUCUAAGAGAGUUGUCCCGUGAAUACUAGACUGUCUUUUCAAGUUAUUAGACUUUGUUUUGUUGUUGUGACAUAGACUGAUAUGGUACGUCAAACUCCUGGAUUACCGACUAUACGUUCUACUUUUAGGUCUUAAUUUACUUGAGACCAAACAGUCCACAAUACACUUGCCGUACUCUCUCCCGUAAUUCAUAGUCUAUUCUGAUGACUCUGGGGUUUGAUAGUGACUACGGAUAACGAACCGUUCCCUGUAACUUGGAACAGUGGGUGGACACAGACAAUUAGUUUUUUUCCGUAAACACGGAAUAUUGUCGAUGAUAGUCUUCUUGUGUUCACGGUCGAAUAGAUUUGUCGAUGUGUGAGGACACAAUGGAGUCCGAGGUUGACCGUGAUUUAGACGUCUGUUACAGUUGUUAUGACGAGUCUCCUAUUCUUUUCGACCACUUACGACCUCUACACCGCUGUUUACCCAUGUACCCGUAUUUACGUGAGAAUAAGGAUUACACGUAGAGUACGUUGUUCUCCACCUUCUAUGACCGGGUGAUCUUGUUCUUCUCGGUGUAGGUCUUGUUAGUCUUUUAUAUCUCCUCGUUGUACUUGUUCGUUACAAAUAGAGACGAAUACGGGACCCAGUAGUCAGUUGCCACGUUUGGGGUUGUUAUUAAUAUAGACAAUUACCAUUCUCUCGACAUCGAGAUGAUCUGAAACCUUCAAGGAGGAGAAAGUACUUACUUUUCAAACGUUAAUUUAGUUUGACAGUAUACGACGGGUCUUUUGGAUCUCGUUAAAGACAACGCCCACCUCCAUGUGAUUAUAGACGUCGACAUCAUGGUUUAACGGGAAAGGUCUAACGAUUUGAUCCUUACGUUGUGAGAAAGUCUCAAGACCUAAAUGGAUCGGUACUGUAAUAAGAACCAAUACUGACCAAGUGGGAACAGUCGGGUCAGUGAAAACUACAAGGAUCCGUAGUCAAGUCAAAAUGUCACCUUCCUGUCUGAUUUCAGUGUCGUCGAUAGAAGUUAUGAUUACUUCUUCACUUUCUUUACGUCCGCUUCUUUGAGGGUUUAUACAACCUGUUUCCUCACGUUCCUAAAGAAUAUGUUAACUUGUCGUAAUAUUACCUUCGAGGACGGUUAGUGACGUAAGGUCGACGUCAGGUUGUUAACAACCUUCUUAUGUUCCUACAUAAGGUCCUCGGAUGUUUCAAUGGAGGAUCAUCUCGAAACCUGGUGUGUUAAGGAAACUACGGUCCUCACCUUGGGGGAGUGAGGUCUGGAAUAUCUCACGGGGUAGUGGUCUUCCUGCUUUACCUUUUUGUCUAAGUCGUAAACAACCUGUUGUUUAAUUAGUCUGGAUCGGUCUCGGGAAUACGACGGGGACACGAAGAUCACUUCUUUUUCCUGUCGUGAUACUCUGACACGUGUCUAAAGUCUUUUAACUUAAGUCAGUGUUAGUUUUUAUUUAAGGGUUAAGGCCGCUAACUCCUAAAUAACCUACUUGACGUACCUCGAUUUCAUAAGAGAUUUAACCUAGAUUCCAGACCAAUGGUGGUUUAGUCUUACUUAAGAUUUCUGCAUGUGUUUUGACGAAAAGCUUGUAAGAACCCAGUGAUACUUAUAAACCAGUACGGAAAACCGAAUAGGUUGCGUGGACCGUGAAAAGUUCGAGAGUACUUAAAAGAGAAACGUGUGAUGUUAUCUUUCAAACACAAUCACAAGAAACUACUGUAUGAGUAAAAAUCAUUUUGUAAUCUCCUCGUACACCUAGUAAAUCGUGUUCACGAGUUUUAAGAGUCUCUUUUACUUGAUAUGCGAUUCAACAGGUUUACACACAAACGACAACUAUUUCACGUCAUAAACCCUGUACACCAAAGACCUCUUCCACAACGAUGUCUCGGACUUUUCUAGUGACGAUAUAGAGUCACCGAUGAGGAUGACUACGUUGAUUCGACUCCUCAAAGAACCCGAACCGUCCCAUGAUAUCUUCCAAAUAGUUCUUGAUACCGUAAUAAACGUUUGGUGACGUGUUGUCAGACUUCUUCCCUGUUAAGGUCACCUGCCGUCUCGUUCUAGACCGAAAAUUUUGUGAGGUCGUCCGGGAAUAGAGACGUGGUCAAAAUCGGGAUGGUCUAAAGUUCGUUGGAAAAGAAGACCUCUGACUACGAAGACCAGUACCGUAACCACGACAAGAAUACGUCGUUCCUGCCGGGGAACGAAUAAUGUCGAGACGUGAAACAGGUUCUUUACGCCGUGAGAGGUGGAUACUCUUUCUUCGAGAACGAUAAGACCUUCGAAAUUUCUUUACCUCUGUGAUGGACAAUCCCUUGUCACAGUAAUAGUUCUGACUGGUUGUCAGAAACUUUAAGUAAUAACUAGUUUCUUAAUGUCUUCCUCACGUUGUGUUUAACUACUACUUUGACGACCUUAAAUUAAAGUGUUAGGUUAUGUUCUUCCCCUCAUGAUUAUCUCACCGUCUACGGGACAGAGCUUACACCGGAUUUACAUACCGAUAGAGGAGACAGUGAGGGAAUACCCGACUUCUAGGCUAUUGUUCGAUGUCUUUACUAGGACACUGUUUUCGAAACGUUCUCUUUAAUGACGACGUCUUUCGACUCUGACAGUGUCUAAUGUGUAACGUACGAUCAUAAUAGUCUAUAUUUCCUUUCUAUGAUCACCCGUUACUGUUUUUGAACGUUCUUGUUGAGUAACGACGUAACGUAUCAAGAGGUCAUCCUCCGGUGAGACCGUACUCUCGAUGAAUAGUUUCCUAUUUUCCGUAUAAGAUAACCGGACCGUACUUUGUUGUACAUCUCUGAAUGUAACGUAGAACGGGUCAAACGGUCUCUCGUUUCGUACUUUUAACGGGAGUUGGACCUGAUAAUCUGGGGGAGGGUCACCGACUGUACCGUACCGUUGUAUAAAGAUACCUAAAGUAACUUCCAGAGGGAUUAAGAGUUCCGUUUCUCCAGUAAAAUCACCACCAACUAUCUAAGUGUUUUAUGAGGGUGAAGAACCGGGAGAGUGUAGGAAUAUGACAAGUAUCACACCGAGUCCAAAAACAUCUAGUAUAGUAGUCCAACGUACCUGGAGGGUUCGAUUAGUAAAGCCUAUCUCUGUCCUAUAAGUGGUCAGUUAACACCUCUCUGUAGAAACGUCGUGAAUCUCACCUCAACUCUAUGUUAAGACGUAUAGUGGGAGUUUGUCUACCCGUUUGUCUCUCUCAGUUGGUUACAAAUCUUUGUAUAGACUCUACGUACAGGUGAAACCUUGGUUUCUUUACCGAUAGAACCGACGGGGAACGACUUAUAACCAUGUUAUGUUGAAUGGUAUGUCGAGAUUUUUACAGUGGCAAGGUCCGAAAUAUACCUAAAGGGGGAGGAAAUUAAAGACUUAACCGGUAGGGACCAGGUCUUCUGAACCUUCGAGUCCUUAAAAAUAGCCGAUUUGUUGUGUACAAUCUAGUUGAGUUCCGUUUAAAUAGGGUUCGAGUUUUAUCCUACUUCUCCAUACGUCUAAAUUUUUCUUCACUCUCUGUUAAAGUUGGACCUCUGGAUCAUAUGAACUUUUACCGAGGUAUGGCUGAUCGUCGUAAACCAAAAGCUCCACGGAAUUUUGAUGUCUUGUUUAUAAUACCAGGAAAGUCACAUCAAGUUUCUUAACCAUUGAGACGAAUGUUUGAGGUUAAAGGCCGUGUACAGUUCUAUGUGGGUCAGAAAGUACAGUCAGUCAACUUCUUCGUAAACCCCUUCUUUAGAUAGGGAUCAGGUCUAGACGGUUACCAGUUACUCCUACCAAGUUAGUUUUGACUUGGCCGAUACCACGAACUUCACUCUGUUCAUGGUUCUGUGUUGGACGUACAACAAGUUACCGAUUAAGUCACCCUUUUGUACCGUGGGCUUCUACGAUGGACCCUUCUACGACUUAAGUAUUUCGUAUGUAAAGGUCGUAAGAAAGCAAGCUGUUGAGUUCGUACCUCUAGUCAGAGUAUUAGCGGCACUCCUGUGCAGCUCAGAGUCUGUCCCCGUUACAGUCCGUAGUCGACAAGACUUGGGUUUGGUUCACAGUAGAAGUCAAUUGCUGGAGGUAGCUCGACCAUAGCGAAGCUCGGGGUAGCCUGCCAGCGGUAGCUCGUCGAGUUCAAUGAAUGCGACAGUUGGCAGCCUACGUAGAUGACAAAAUGAAAAGUGGAAUACGACAGCGAUGUCACUUGACAUUGAAAGAGCGGAUAUUCACUCGGCCCGACACCGACUCAUCCAUCGCACUUAACUAGGAUAAAAACGGAAACUCGUCUUCUUUAUGGGAUAUUUGUAUAUAGAAUAUCAUAGGUAUAUUUAAGACCUAGAGUCUGGGGGAAGGAGAUCAAGCUAGAGAGACUUUAAGCGAAUCAACUGUGGGCCCUAGACUGUCUAGAGGUGAGAGAGCGGCAGCGGCAGCCUACGGAGCUUAUUCGUCGAGGGGGAAACCCUCGGCGUCGGGGGUUAGCUUCGUCGUCGUCGUCGUCGAGGUAAGGCUCGACGCUGGCCGUUAGCUUCGUUAGUUCGCCGAGGUGAGGCUCGGCGUCAGGCGUUAGUUUCGUCGAAGGAAAAAAUCACCGAUUAGCCCUUAGUUUCGUCAGCAAAGGCCUAAUGUUAGUCUUUGUCCGGGAGAAAGCCUAAGUCAGAGCCGCCUUUGGAUCGUCGAUAUAUAGUCAAACUUCUCCUCUGCUAGUCGAGAGAAUGGUCCGUUUGCCGACGGUCUUGCCGGAGCCGUUUAGGAGGGAGCUGUACUACCUCCUGUUACUCCAACUAUCCGAGUCGUUCAACGGACUACUGCAAAACGAGUUGUAACACCUCGCUGAACUAUAGCGACUACGACGUGCUUGGUGGUAGGAGAGCUGUGCAACCUUUGUCUAGGGACGCUAUGAGAGUUUCCAACAAUAGCACCGACCUAGAAAACUCGGGUUCGUACUUUCCUCCUUCUAUUGGAGUCUACUAUAUCAAGCCCGGUUGUGGUGGCACGACCUUCGACGAUCCACGUAUGACCCUUCCUCCCGACCCUCAGAUAGGUGGUAAGUGGACAACACGUACGUUAAGAUGAACCCUCUACUCAGACAAAAGUAACCGGUCUGACAACGGUUGUGGUAUCGUUGUGUUUUCCAGCGAAGUCGGCUCAAAUGUUAGUACUGCUUCCACGCGUCUUUAACAAGACAACUACUUGACGAGUGAAUACCCUCCGUCAAGUACAGUAAGAAACCAAGCACAGGUUUGUGUAAACCACCAGAACGUGCGGAGUGCGAUCUCUUAAACUCCAACCCACUUAGUCUGAAGGGGUUUUAAAAGUCAUAAACGUUAGUUGACCUCAAGGAGGCAGAGGUUGUCACACUACGCCCCUUAUACAGAAACGACCUUCACCUUGUGCUUGUCGAGGCACUUAAUGACUAAAAAACAUCGUCAUAAUUCUCCCAACUAGACUUCACACAUGGUUUCGAGUGUUAUGACUUUAAAUUACGAAAAUACAGAGGCCUUCUGGGGAAGACAGACCCGAUACAGGGUGACGAAGUCUGACACUGGUAGUAAUUAUGACCAGAAAGCGCCGUGUUCUACGAGUUCAAUUCGCUCAACGACCCAUUCUGCCGGUAUUCGAAGGAGGUAAACUUGAAGUUUACACUUUUCUAAACCCACUUUGGUCUUCCAGCUUUCGUUAACGAUGGCCACAAGGUGUUUGAUUCCGAACACUUAAACUAGUUGUAAAGACUUCUUACACUAGACUGAACCUGCUACAAGUAUGAGGUUCCACGUGGGCGGGAAUUCCUUGAUACGUAGUACCAUUUUAGAACAUGGCUAAAAGUAAAGAGUAAAAAUAAGGUGGAGUGCAACUUAUACGUUUCGCUCGAGAGAGAAAAGCUUCAAGUCUGUGGCCAAACCUUAAGAACUGGACUAACUUACGUCCACUCCCUAGUAAACACACUUUACUGUUGGCCCCUCCACUCCUUCUCCAAAUGUAUAUCGCUCUUCUUCCUGUUUCCUGAUCUUACCCUUGGUAGAAGGGGACUAAAGUUCGUGGUGUUAGACCGACUCCAGUCCUAGAUACCCAAAGUCCGUCUUCUGUUUAAGUACUCCAUACGGUCUUUACAGCACCUCCGUCGCCACUUGGACCUCCGGUACUUGGAUAUAUCUUUAGGUCCCACACUAUUCACGUUCGUGUGCGAAGGUCCAGUCACCUGUACCUGCCUCUACAAUAACUAGUCUCUGUUUUAGUUGUUACCCUACAGCAGUGUACGGUCCUAAGUGAAGGGCUCGACUCCCGUUCAAAAAAAG
rnacentral:rRNA from 1 species